rnacentral:misc_RNA from 1 species
GGAAGGAUCAUUACCGAAUGACCCGUGCCUCCUUGCAGCAUAGUGGGGGACCAUAGUCUGCCCAGGCUGUAGCCGGCCGGUCGGUGCCCUUUGGUCUACGCGAUGCUUGUGUUUUCUAUUUUACCAAACAAACCAGUCUGUCCCAUGUUGGUGGCAUCCUUUUGUUGGGUUUGCCCUUAACUAUAUAAAUAUAACUUUCAACAACGGAUCUCUUGGCUCUCGCAUCGAUGAAGAACGCAGCGAAAUGCGAUAAGUAAUGUGAAUUGCAGAAUUCAGUGAAUCAUCGAAUCUUUGAACGCACCUUGCGCUCCUUGGCAUUCCGAGAAGCAUGCCUGUUUGAGUGUCGUUGAAUUCUCACACCCUACCUGAUCUUUCUUGAAAGAUCGGGGAGGAGGGUAGUUGACAAGAAUUUUCCCAGGUCUCUUCCAGGGGCCAUGGGCCUUGUCCUAUCACGGACCGUCACGCGGGGUGUGGAUUGGUGGAGGUUUGCAGGUGGAUCGAGGUUGAUCCCUCGAAGCCCUCUGCUCCUCUGAAAUGCAUUGGCGCACGCGCACCCCAACCAAGCCUGACAACCCGACCUUUCUUGAAAGGUCGGGAAUGAGGGUAGUUAGACAAGAAGAAUUUGCCCAGGUCUGAAAGGGCCAUGGGCCUUGUCUGCUAUUGCGGACCGUCAGGAGAGGAAUAUGGGAUUGGUGUUGCAUUGCAGCUGUGGUCGCGAACCCGUCGUUUGGUAUGAUACAUACGUCUUACCUGCUUGCGACGGGCGUCGUGCACCCCAACGAUUUGACCUCAAAUCAGGCAGGACUACCCGCUGAACUUAAGCAUAUCAAUAAGCGGAGGAAAAGAAACUAACAAGGAUUCCCCUAGUAACUGCGAGUGAAGCGGGAAGAGCUCAAAUUUAAAAUCUGGCGGCCCCUGCGGUCGUCCGAGUUGUAAGCUAGAGAAGCGCCGUCCGCGCUGGGGCCAUGUACAAGUCUCCUGGAACGGAGCGUCAUAGAGGGUGAGAAUCCCGUCUCUGACAUGGACCUCCCAGUGCACCGCGAUGGCGCGCUCAAAGAGUCGAGUUGUUUGGGAAUGCAGCUCCAAAUGGGUGGUAAAACUCCAUCUAAAGCUAAACAUUGGCGAGAGACCGAUAGCGAACAAGUACCGUGAGGGAAAGAUGAAAAGAACUUUGGAAAGAGAGUUAAACAGUACGUGAAAUUGUUGAAAGGGAAACGCUUGAAGUCAGUCGCGUCGGCCUGGGAUCAGCCCCGCUCUUGCGAGGUGCACUCCCCGGUCGACGGGUCAGCACCAGUUUCGACCGUUGGAGAAAGGUCGGGGGAAUGUGGCAUCCUCGGAUGUGUUUAUAGCCCUCGAUCGCAUGCAUCGGUUGGGAUUGAGGAACUCAGCGCGCCGCAAGGCCGGGUUUUCGAACCACGUCCGCGCUCAGGAUGCUGGCACAAUGGCUUUAAUCGACCCGUCUUGAAACACGGACCAAGGAGUCUAACAUGCCUGCGAGUGUUUGGGUGGAAAACCCACGCGCGCAAUGAAAGUGAAAGUUGAGAUCCCCGUCGUGGGGAGCAUCGACGCCCGGACCAGACCUUCUGCGACGGAUCCGCGGUGGAGCAUGCAUGUUGGGACCCGAAAGAUGGUGAACUAUGCCUGAAUAGGGUGAAGCCAGAGGAAACUCUGGUGGAGGCUCGUAGCGAUUCUGACGUGCAAAUCGAUCGUCGAAUUUGGGUAUAGGGGCGAAAGACUAAUCGAACCAUCUAGUAGCUGGUUCCUGC